rnacentral:rRNA from 1 species
GGAAUAUUGGUCAAUAGGCGGAAGCCUGAACCAGCCAUGCCGCGUGCAGGAUGACUGCCCUAUGGGUUGUAAACUGCUUUUGUCCAGGAAUAAACUUAAAUACGAGUAUUUAGCUGAAUGUACUGGAAGAAUAAGGAUCGGCUAACUCCGUGCCAGCAGCCGCGGUAAUACGGAGGAUCCGAGCGUUAUCCGGAUUUAUUGGGUUUAAAGGGUGCGUAGGCGGCGCGUUAAGUCAGGGGUGAAAUACGGUGGCUCAACCAUCGCAGUGCCUUUGAUACUGACGUGCUUGAAUCCAUAUGAAGUGGGCGGAAUAAGACAAGUAGCGGUGAAAUGCAUAGAUAUGUAUUAGAACUCCGAUUGCGAAGGCAGCUCACUAAGCUGGUAUUGACGCUGAUGCACGAAAGCGUGGGGAUCG